rnacentral:tRNA from 2 species
UUAUAAAUAAGCUAAAUUAAGCUUUUAAGUUCAUACCUUAAAUAUAAAUUAAUAAUUUUUUAUAAA